rnacentral:siRNA from 1 species
UACUGGGACAUUUUGCCUUCA